UCGAGAAUAUUCGACAAUGGGCGAAAGCCUGAUCGAGCGACGCCGCGUGCAGGAUGAAGGCCCUCGGGUUGUAAACUGCGGUAGUAGGGGAGGAACGCAAGUGACUGUACCCUACGGAAAGUGGUUGGUAACUACGUGCCAGCACCAGCGGUAAUACGUAGACCACAAGCGUUAUCCGGAUUUAUUGGGCGUAAAGAGCAUGUAGGAGGUCCGGUGCGUCUCUGGUUAAAGCCCACCGCCUAAUGGUGGAAGUGCCAGAGAUACGAUCGGACUGGAGGAUGUGAGAGGUGCAUGGAACUCACGGUGUAGGGGUGAAAUCCGUUGAUAUCGUGGGGAACACCAAAGGCGAAGGCAGUGCACUGGUACAUUCCUGACUCUGAGAUGCGAAAGCGUGGGGAGCAAAAAGGAUUAGAUACCCUUGUAGUCCCUGAGCGGGCUGGCAAGGCGCAU
rnacentral:rRNA from 1 species